AGCCUCGUGAUGUUCAGCAUAUAAGAUUGCAAAUUUUAAAGAGCAGGAUAGCUUCUGCCGGGGCUU
rnacentral:tRNA from 2 species